rnacentral:lncRNA from 1 species
AGCCGGUGGGUGGAACCGAGAGAGCCUCUCCAGGGAGCAGCGUACGCAGUCCAGAAGGCUGCAGUAUUUCCUCCAAGAAAAAAAAAAAAAAAGGCUGCUUCAACCCCUGCUGCAAGCAAAGUUCCGAUUCCCUCUGCUGGCUAUCUCGAAUAGCAAGCGAUUUUUGCAGCAACGCUGCUGCCGCUGGAACUGAACCUGAAGAACUCAAAUGCGGGCGGUGGAUUAUUUCUUAUCCCUCCUCCAUCUACCCCACACAAGAGCUGCUUUUUGUUCCUCUUUUUGCCAAGUUCCAAGGAUACAAUGAGAAGACCUGCCUUCUGCAAACCCGGAGGCAAGCCCUCAUCAGACACCAGGUCUGCUGCCACCAUGAUGUUGGACUGCUCAGCCUCCAGAACUGUGAGAAAUAAAUGUUUGUUGCUUAAGCCACUCAGUCUAUGGAGUCUUGAGACUUCUCUUCUUUUGGUGUGGAUUCCGGAACUCCUUUCUGAAGCAAGAGGCAAAUAUCUCUCAGCAGAGAAUGCCAAGACCAAUCACUUAACCAUGGCAAUCUUACUCAGCAUGGUAAUUCCCACCCUGAUGGUCCCAAGAUGGCUGCAGCAGUUUCAGCCAUGUUAUCCUAAUCCACCAACAUCUGGAGGUAUCUGUCUUUUCAAUCUCCAUCUAUUACAAAUGUAGGAUACUUUUACCAGAAGGUCCUCCUCUAGACUACUACUCAUGUUUCAUUGGACAAAUUUGGUCCCAUGGAAUUUCUUAAGUCAUUUACUGAUGAGGAAAGUGGAAUUAUCAUGACUGGAUUAGACUACCUAAGAUUCACCACUCCUGAGCCUGGAGAAAGAUAAUUUUCUCAGAGCAAACAACUGCAUAUGGCUGAAGAUAGGAAUGAACUAUAAAACAAAAUUGGAGUCCUCCAGGAAAGAAAGGGGGAAUUAAAGGGAAAUGAUUGUGUAGGCAAAACACAAUAGUCUCCAAUGCCAAAUAAACUUUGUUUUGUUACUCUCUCAUCUACUUUAUCACAUUUUUUUCCUUGUUACCCUUCUCACCUUAAUUCAUCACCAAUAAGCCUCUUUAAAUCAAAUUUUUGAUGGUCAUCCAUAAAUCUCCAAGAAAUUGAGUGAUAAUUAACAUUACAGUGAUAAUGAGCUUAAGGUCUUGUUUCUUCUUGAAAGCUGGGAGGGUAGGAGGGGAGUGAAUGGUAAGAAAUUACUUAGUGGGGGCAAUACUCAUUAUUUGGGUGAUGGGUUACCCUAUAAGUCCAGACUUUACCAUUAUACAAUAUAUCCAUGUAACAAAACUGCAUUUGCACCAUUUAAAUGUAUACAAAUUUUUAAAAAGAAAGCUCUAAAAGAUAUAAACAUCUUCAAGAUCUAUAGGAAUAAAGCAGUCAUGGGGGUGUGGCAGGCAAGAAAGGAUUUAAGGCCCAGUUCGCUCCUAUGACCUCCUCACUUUAUCUCCUAUCACACUACUCUGCACACUCUGUUAUGGCCACGUCGGCCUCUCUGCAGUUCCUCUAAGAGGCCAGCAUUCUCUCACCCUGGGGACUUUGUACUUUACUUCCCUGUGCCCACACCAAGCUUUCUUCAUAUAACCAUGUUACUUAAUUCCUCCCUUACUAUGAGUUUCUGCUCACGUGCCACCUUAUUAAAGAGGUUUGUCCUGACCAUCUUAUGUAACAUAGCAACUUUAUUUCAUUCUUUGUCCUAUUACCCCAGUUUAUAUAUGCUUAUGGCUCUUAUAACCACCUGACAUGGUAUGCAUUUAUUUAUUGUUCUUAUAAGUAAUUAUCCAUGAGACAAGUGUUUAUAUUUUGUUCACAGUUUGUUUCUCUGAGCCUAGUAUAGUGCCUGACACAUAUAGGCAUGUCUUAAAUAUGUAUAGAAUGAACUGAUGGGUGGCUACUGGCCAUGGGAAACUUAGAUGAUCUUUCUGUUCCUUAACGUAGAUCACAACAUAAUUCAAGAGGUACCUCAUCCUGGGCAGGCAUCUUUCUCUAUGAUAAUCAGUAAUACCCAUAGUAAGCCCAAGUAAGUCGAUAUCUUUCUUCUUUCAUCUACUUUCCUCUAAGCAAGACCCUCAUUUUUUAGGGUGAGCUGUUUAUGUUGAAAGCUGAACAGCAUCUAUCAUUCUAAUAAGAAAUAAAAGGCAAAUCCCAACAGAGUAGUGACUGAGACACAUCCUACAACUUAUAAUACUCUAAUUAGAAAAUGUGUUUUAAUUCUGAUUCAAUUGUAUUUUAUAUGCCAGAAAUAGUCAUAAAAACGUAUGUCAAAAUCAUGAAGAAAUAAGGUAAUAUAAUUAGUCAAUAGUGAUUUAAAAAAUAAGUUUAGUAUGGCUUGGAAUUUCCAUUUGAUGUGGAACUUAAGCCACAUAUGCACAAAAUGUUUCGGAGACUUCCAGGCAAAAUGGCAAUAGGAAUACUAGACAUAAUUGCCAGCAGAAAAACAUGGAAACGUCUAUAUACAAGAUUGAAAGGAAGACAGCCAGACUACAGUGAUAGGCAGGUGAGGGAACAGCCUAUGUGCAUUACAUAUGAAAGACGUCCCUGCAGAACCUAGUAACAUCCACUGUCUGUGUGCCGGCAGUGGUGGUAGGUGAAUAUCUGAACCCCACUAGUAUUGCUGGGAAGACUGUGAGAUAGGGACCACGAAGACCAGCCUGUCCAGGCCUAUGCUAGGUGAGAAGAGCCCAGUCAGCAUGGGAAAGGGAUCAUCUUAGAAUGAGGUCACCCUUGCCUGGCAAAGAGAAGGACCCUGGUCCCCUGUCUCUGGGUUUCCUCACCAAACUCAGAGGAUAAAUUCUUUGGGAAAUUUCUCAAGUUAAGGGGAUCUGAAGUGGUAAGAUGAAGGCACAGCAAACCCAAACAGAUUUCUUUUCUGAAAAGAGUUCAGCAAACUGCCCCUCAAUCUCUGACAGAACCCAUUUUAAUUCUCAAUUCUGAGUAUUGAGUAACAAGUUUGAUUUAUGAAAUGCUAUGUAACUUUUGUUUUAAAUAUCACAUUCUCAACUAACAUUUGAGGAUGUAAGAGAUCCUUUUAUUAUAUGUGUUAUAUUAAGUGAAAAAUGUGUAAACAAGUAGGUGAUUUAGGAUUACAACCUGAAAAUAUUUUAUACAACUAAACACACAAAAAUUGAUACAAAAGUAUGGCACAGAUAUACAGUUGGCACUCAGUAUCCAGGGGGGAUUGGUCCCAGAACCCUUUGUGAUACCAAUAUCUGUGGAUGCUCAAGUCCCUUAAUAGUGUAAUAGUGUAGUAUUAGCAUAUAACCUAUGCACAUCUUCCCAUAUAUGUGAAAUCAUCUCUAGAUUACUUAUAAUGUCUCAUACAAUGUAAAUGCUAUGUAAAUAGUUGGAAUACUGUAUUGUUUAGAGAAUCAUUACAAGAAAAAAAAGUGUUUGUACCUUUAUAGCACAGACGCAGCCAUCCAUUUUUUUCUCCCAAAUAUUUUCAAUCCAUGAUUGGUUGAAUCCACAAAUGUGGAGUCCACUGAUGUGGAGGGCCAACUGCACUCCAUUAUGGCAACUGUAUCAAAAUCGCAAAGUUAUUUUUAUUCUUACUUUUCAUAUGUUAGGUGAGAAGAAACUUAAUUGGCCUUUUAUUCAGGAUAUAUCCAGAAUCCAAACACUAUCUACAAUUGCUGCCACUCUGGCCUGAACCACCAUCAUUUUUUUUUUCUCAAAUUGCUGCAUUAGCCUCCUAAUAGUUCUACUGGCUUCCCUUCUUGCCCACUGUGUGCCCCAUGGUGUAGUUUCUACACAGCAGACAGAGUGGCCUUUCAAAGACGUAAGUCAGAUUUCUCUGCUCAGAACUUCCCAGUGACUGCACAUCACUGUCAUUUCAUAAGCCUCUCUAUUAACUAGUCAGACAUUAUGUUCUGCUACUGUUCUUGUACUGACUCUUGUCCAACCACACUGACCUCCUUGUGGGUCCUUAGAUUUGACAAUCAUGUUCUUUCCUUUGCACGGGCUGUUCUUGCUGCCUGGAAUUCUUCCUUUAGUUAGCACUCUCUUCAAGCCUUUAAUGUAACCUUCUCAAGAAAUCCAGCUACCCCCUCAACACACCCCCUCCUCCUUCUAGUCUUGCCAAAUAUCUCCAAACUUCCUUCCCAGAGUCAUGUUGCACAGUUCCAGGGGAUGGGUGUCUCAUAAAAUAGAAUGUGAAUGAUACUUACUGAAAUUGUGUGGAAUGUGAAGACCUCACUUUAUUUUUCUCGAUAGUUCUUAUCACCUUUUAAUACAUUAUAUCAUUUACUUUUUAAAAAUUGUCUAUCUCCUCCUCUAGGAUCAUCAGCUCCAUGAGGGUGGGAAUGUCUGUUGUACUUACUGCUAUAACCUCAGUUCCUAGAACAAUGUCUGGCACAUAGUACACGCUAAAAAAUAAAUGAAUCACAGGGUAGUAUA